GUCUAUGGCCAUACCACCCUGAAUGCGCCCCAUCUUGCCUGAUCUUAGAAGCUAAGCAGGGUCAGGCCUGGUUAAUACUUAGAUGGGAAAAACUGAGAGACACUAGAGAGAGAGUCA
rnacentral:rRNA from 1 species